rnacentral:tRNA from 1 species
GCCGGGGUGGCGGAAUGGUAUACGCGGUGGAUUCAAAACCCACUUCCUCACGGAUUGAGAGUUCGAGUCUCUCCCUCGGCA